ACAUUUUAGCCAUAAGUACGUUCAUGCCUAUGAAACUAUCAGCCUCGCUCUUCUUGGGCACCUCCCCUCUCACCAGCCUUACAUAUGCAAAGAGAAAUACAGGUUUAUGAGGAAGGAACAGAGAAUAAGAACUCUAUUAGCUUGUGAAGACAAAAGCUGACAGCACACUAUUUACAAGUACAAUUUACAAAUAUUUGAAAAUGAGUAAAGGAAAGCGAAGGAACAGGCCGCACGGGUCUGCCUGGAUCCAGAAAGUCGAGAGAAGCAAGGUUUAAUGUUCAGCGCUCUUUGCUAAUGAGAUGUAUAAGAAUUCUAACUUGAGAAAUACUGAAGAUGUAUCAUAACGGAAUAAUACUGUCUACCGACGAUUAUUUUAAAGAUGAAAACGGAAAAAUGCAUUUCGAAAGGAGUAAGUUACAGGAGGCGCAUUGGUGGAAUCGAAGAAAUGCUUUCUGGGCGUUGAAGAACCAAGAGCAUCCGGUCAUAAUUGAUAAUACUAACAUUCAGCGCUGGGAAAUGAAACCUUACGUGAGAAUGGGUCUUCGCUUCCGUUACUUCGUCAUAUUUUACGAAGCACCAGACAAUUCGAAAUGCAGUCCUGAGGAAUUGUACAGGCGUAACAAGGGUGUGGUGCCACUCGAAGUAUUGGAGAAAAUGAAGAGAAGAUUUGAAGUCGUCGAAAGUAUAUAUGAUGUCCUCCAUUCUUAGCUUUGUCAUGCCUGAAAUGGCAACAGGUGACUUUAACAGGACCAAAAAUAUACGGCACCAGUCAAAAGUUUGGACAACCCGCCUAUAGUAAGGUUUAUUUGCACUAGCUUCUACAUUUACGAAUAAUAACAAAGAGAUCAAAACUAUGAAAUAACAUAUAUGGAAGUAUGCACUUACCAAAGAACCAUUAAACAAAAAAAAUAUUUGGGGGGGGGGGCAGCUCUAUGGGGCUCAGAAGGUUGUUGGUUCAAAUCCCGUGGUCGGCAGAGUGAUUCCACCUUUGGGCCCUUGAGCAAGGCCCUUACCCCAAUUGCCCCAGGCACUGGCUGACCCUACUGUCCCCUCUACACCAGUUCCAUGAGGUGGCCUCCUGGGAUGCUUGUCCAGCUGUCCUGACGGACAUCCCCCAUAUGCUGAGCACUUGUUGGAAACUUUUCCUUCACUCUCAGGUUCAACUCCUCCAAAACCAUCUCCAGUGGAUUUAGGUCAGGUGACCAGGUCAUGUAAUGUGAUACGUUCACUCUCCUUUGUUAGUGGCUUGGAGUGUCCAAACUUUUGACUGCAUCUGUACAAUAAUCACAACAGUAUUCCAAAUAUUGAUGCUUGCAUUUUCUAUUUUGCUAAAUUCUUCUGAGCAUAAAACUAAGCAUAGCUUUACUAAACAUACUUAAUAUAUGAUUUCCUAUUUAUGUCCCUGCACCUCCUUACUGUAACUGUACGGCUCCCAUUCUUUCUCAAAUUACAGCUGUAUUGAUGAUAGAUGAAGGGAACAGUCACUGUUGAUACGACCAGACAGGACAAAAGAGAGACUCCUGGGCCCGUAUUCACAAAGCAUCUUAAAACUAAAAGUAGCUCCUAACCCGCGGAUUUAGGAGAAACUCCUAAACAAAAAUUUUUGGAGUGUCAGUCCUAAAUGUAGGCCUACUAUUUUUUUUGUUUGUACUAAGAACAAUUCACAAAGCUCCUUAGUGCUAAACGUAGCACCUAAGUCUGGGAGAACUAAAAAGUAGUCGAGAGGACUGCUGAGUCACUAAGACCAAUUCACAAACAGUCGCAGAAUGGCUGCUGUCAAUCCACGUGUCAUGGAAACAUUAAACAAAUUAAGUGGAAACAUUAAAUCUCCAACAAUCUGAAAGAAUUACAAACUUACAAUGGAAACCGUUUAUAGUGAUCAUUAUAACCAGGUUUUUCUUUUUACCUUGUUCCUUAUGUCUCAGGCAGAUUACCAUCAGGCAGAUUCAAAAUACAGUACAGUCAUUUCAAACGCUUUUCAAAUUACUGAACUGUGUAUAAUUUGAAAUUCGUUAUAAUACAGUUCUGUACAUAAAAUAUACUUUAUUGUAGUUUCGCUGCUGCAUCUUGUUGGCUCGGUUUUCGCAGUUUAUCAUAAGCUUUGAUGAGUCUACAUUUGUCAUUGAGAGACAAUGCCUUUCUUUUUCCUGUCCCAUGCACGCUGCAUUAGCCUCAGGUAGCCAGCCGGAAGCAGAAGGGUUAGCGCAAGGCUAAAUAGGGCGAUCAAAGUAAAGUAAAACAGAAAAAUAAAAUACUGUAGUUUUGUUUCCAUAUUUUGUUGUAUUUAAAAAGGCCAAAAAUUAAUAGAAGUGAAUUAUAAGCAAUUACUACAAGCAAAUUAUUUAAACAGUAUUUGUAUAGGAAUGAUUCUGUGAGCUUUUCUGACCCAUAUAAGCAGUUGGUCACUAUAAUCCUGAUCACUAUAAGCGGUUUCCACUGUAUUUGUGUUUAUGGGAUGUCAGGUGUACAUGUUCACUAACACAUACUGGCUUCUCAUCAACCAAUCCACGCGGUUAUUGUAAGCAAGCUGGUGCAUGAGAACCGACGUCAGCCGAAGCGACGGAGUCUUACUCUUUGCUUAGCCGUUGGUUAACUAAUUAAAAGUUUCCUAACUAAAAGUUGCCCUCAGCCACUUUGUGAAUAGGUUUUGGGCAAAAACUCUUACUUAAAAACUUUUAGUGCAAUUUAAGAAUACUCUUAGUGAUAAGAUAAAAUACUUUGUGAAUACAAGGCUUGGACCUUUUUCAAAUAGAUGAUAUCUUGCAUCAAUUAAUUUCACAAGUACACAAUUCAACCUGGCUUUCAAUAAAUGUUCAUACAUGUUCCUAAAUGCUCACUGUAUUUUUUAAGCAUGUCGAUUAAACUAGAUGUAGCGGCGUGUGAUAUACAA